rnacentral:rRNA from 1 species
GUCCACGCCGUAAACGAUGGACACUAGGCGUCGGGGGGAGCGACCCUCCCGGUGCCGUCGCUAACGCAGUAAGUGUCCCGCCUGGGGAGUACGGCCGCAAGGCUGAAACUCAAAGGAAUUGACGGGGGCCCGCACAAGCGGUGGAGCAUGUGGUUUAAUUCGAAGCAACGCGAAGAACCUUACCUGGGCUUGACAUGCACGGGAAAGCCGGUGGAAACAUCGGCCCCUCUUCGGAGUCCGUGCACAGGUGCUGCAUGGCUGUCGU